CCCCAUCUCCACUUCCUUGCUCCAGCCAUGAGGCGACAUAUUUCGUCGUUCUUCCUCCUUGCGGCUACUCCCUCCAUCUCCACGCCUGUGCUCCAGUCACAAGGUGACACACGUCAUCGUUUUCUCCUCCCUGCAGUUUCUCCCUCCAUCUCCACGUCCGUCCUCCAAUGCCGAGGUGACAUGUGCCGGCGUUCUUCCUCCCCGCGGCUUGUCCCUCCACGGCUAAAUCCACAUUUACGCCAUCGGCAACACGAUUACAUGCUCGCUGAGCUGAAAAACAGCCUGCCCAAAGAAAUAAAAUGCUCACAUUCCGAACACUAGUUCUCUCCGUUGGUCAUGUAUAGAUCGAAAUAAGGAAGAAACACGAGUCAUCUUCAGAAGAAGGGCAAGGUUUUCAGGUAGCGUGCCCCUACUUCCAUAACUGAAGUUCCAUCACGAGUAGCCUUAUGAAUUAUGAUACUCCAUAUUUCACGUCACAAACCAGCUACUAAUCGACCAACACCAGCUGGGAUUUUCUUUAAAAAGAAAAAAGAAACUGUGAUCCUGAUCAUCUUUUUCUUGCAUGGUUCUGAAACAUUUAGAUGUGUUUUUCACAUAUGUUGGUCAAACCUAAAUUGACACAUUUAUCAUAUACUCCCUCCGUUCCAAAUUACACAUUUGAACUAAAACCACGACGAGUAAUUUGGAACGGAGGGAGUACUUUCCUCAAGAUCAUAUUUAGCCCAGCUAUACAAAUACAAACUUGAAAAUAGCACUAGUGAAACUCCAUCAUAAGUUCAUAACAGCUCAACAAAAUCAUCGAUUCAUGCUAACUGAAAAAACAAUGUGGAACCAAAGAUAGUAAGAUAACAGUAUCAAGUGAUAACAAACAAGAGUAAACAAUAAUGGCUUGCUCAAACUUGUCUCUAGCUUCACAGGUUUUUGUUUCCAUUAUUAUGUUAUUACAGUUUCAGCCAGCAUAAAAGAAGAUCUGUACACACAUGUUAUGCCGAACCCAGUAACCCAUGAGUAUACCUUGCUUCUUGAGUAGUAACACCAAAAGGCUUAACUGAUGCUUCUUUCAAGUGGCAUAAGAAUAAGCAUACUGGGUAACAUUUCCUAGGUAUUUCUCCCAAAAAUAACUCCACCGUCGAGAGUCUCCCAAAGAGAUCUUCUCAAUCCUCCUGCUCUCGACUCUUCAUCACAGGGCCAUAAGCGUACCUCAUACCAUGGUUGCGGUAUGCAGCUUCAUCAUCCAUACAUUCCUUAUAUGAUGAUUCAUAUUUCUGGAAUUUUGAACACAUUUGUAAUAGUAAGAGCUGGUCUCUGGUCCACCGCUUCAGCAACUUAUUAUUAGCCCAUGUUUCCUCGAAUUCUACUUCAGAGUCGCAUCCCUGCAUACACUUGGUGAACAUCUUAUUAAAAGCUUUCGAACCCCCAGCAAAUGCACCAAGGCGAGAUGUGGAGUUAUUUUGAAUGUUCCAGUGAGGGCAUGUAUUGGGAAACAAUUCCUCAAUUGCUUUCGACAUAACUUGGUCACCGCGUCUGCAGGAAAGAGGUGCCACACUGGCUCUUCCUAGCCAAACCCACAUGUGCACAGCAUUGAUUCAUGUCACCAGCAAGAACAUGCGUUGGGAAGCUCAAGACGGUUUCAGACCACUCAGUUCAGUCCCCAUGGCAGCACGGUGGCACAGUCAGGGUGUUCAUCGUUUGCUUCGGCUCGGGAGGGGCCCUGCUCGAACCUCAUCUCCCAGAACUGCUCCAGCUCCUCAAGAAUGCCACGAUUCCUGGCAUAUGAAAGCCAAAAUGAUCGCAUUCUGAACACUAAUUUCUCCAUUUGUCAUGUAUACAAUGAAAUAAGUUAAGAAACAAGAGUUACCUUCAUCAAAAGGGUAAGAGUUUUAAUGUUGCAACAAGUCAAGUUGCACAUGCCAUAUGCUCCAGCUUCUCCCAGGUUAGGAAAGUCUUAAGAGUCUGUAAGGGUUGGCAAUAAAUAGCUGCUUCAAACUAUGUAAAAACAGGUGAGUACAACAGAGCGAACAAGUGACCGAGCUACUUGUGUUCUGGCAGACUUGAACUACAGGCAACAGAUAUUACAGUGCACAUAGCAAACAAAGACCAUGCCAGAA
rnacentral:lncRNA from 1 species